rnacentral:rRNA from 1 species
AGAGUUUGAUCCUGGCUCAGAUUGAACGCUGGCGGAAUGCUUUACACAUGCAAGUCGAGCGGUAGUCCUUCGGGAUGAGAGCGGCGAACGGGUGAGUAAUGCAUCGGAAUGUAUCCUAUGGUGGGGAACAACCUGGCGAAAGCCAGGCUAAUACCGCAUGAGCCCUGAGGGGGAAAGCGGGGGACCAGUGAUGGCCUCGCGCCGUUGGAGCAGCCGAUGUCAGAUUAGCUAGUUGGUGGGGUAAAGGCUCACCAAGGCGACGAUCUGUAGCGGGUCUGAGAGGAUGAUCCGCCACACUGGAACUGAGACACGGUCCAGACUCCUACGGGAGGCAGCAGUGGGGAAUUUUGGACAAUGGGCGCAAGCCUGAUCCAGCCAUUCCGCGUGAGUGAAGAAGGCCUUCGGGUUGUAAAGCUCUUUCGGCCGGGAAGAAAUCGUAUCCGCUAAUACCGGGUAUGGAUGACGGUACCGGACUAAGAAGCACCGGCUAACUACGUGCCAGCAGCCGCGGUAAUACGUAGGGUGCGAGCGUUAAUCGGAAUUACUGGGCGUAAAGCGUGCGCAGGCGGUUUUGUAAGACAGCUGUGAAAUCCCCGGGCUCAACCUGGGAACUGCGGUUGUGACUGCAAGGCUUGAGUACGGCAGAGGGGGGUGGAAUUCCACGUGUAGCAGUGAAAUGCGUAGAUAUGUGGAGGAACACCAAUGGCGAAGGCAGCCCCCUGGGUCGAUACUGACGCUCAUGCACGAAAGCGUGGGGAGCAAACAGGAUUAGAUACCCUGGUAGUCCACGCCCUAAACGAUGCCAACUGGGUGUUGGGGAAGGAGACUUCCUUAGUACCGAAGCUAACGCGUGAAGUGGCCGCCUGGGAG